rnacentral:rRNA from 1 species
AAGAGUUUGAUCCUGGCUCAGGAUGAACGCUAGCGGCAGGCCUAACACAUGCAAGUCGAGGGGCAGCACAGGUAGCAAUACUGGGUGGCGACCGGCGCACGGGUGAGUAACGCGUAUGCAACCUACCUCUAACAGGAGGAUAGCCCCGAGAAAUCGGAUUAAUACUCCAUAUCAUUUAUGAAUCGCAUGGUUUAUAAAUAAAAGUUCCGACGGUUAAAGAUGGGCAUGCGUGACAUUAGCUAGUUGGUGAGGUAACGGCUCACCAAGGCAACGAUGUCUAGGGGUUCUGAGAGGAUUAUCCCCCACACUGGUACUGAGACACGGACCAGACUCCUACGGGAGGCAGCAGUGAGGAAUAUUGGUCAAUGGGCGAAAGCCUGAACCAGCCAUGCCGCGUGAAGGAUGAAGGCCUUAUGGGUUGUAAACUUCUUUUAUACGGGAAUAAACUUAGCUAUGUAUAGCUAAAAUGACGGUACCGUAUGAAUAAGCACCGGCUAACUCCGUGCCAGCAGCCGCGGUAAUACGGAGGGUGCAAGCGUUAUCCGGAUUUAUUGGGUUUAAAGGGUCCGCAGGCGGACCAAUAAGUCAGUGGUGAAAUCUCUCGGCUCAACCGAGAAACUGCCAUUGAUACUGUUGGUCUAGAGUGUAGUUGGCGUAGGCGGAAUGUAUCAUGUAGCGGUGAAAUGCUUAGAUAUGAUACAGAACACCGAUCGCGAAGGCAGCUUACGAAACUACAACUGACGCUCAGGGACGAAAGCGUGGGGAGCGAACAGGAUUAGAUACCCUGGUAGUCCACGCUGUAAACGAUGAUUACUCGUUGUCGGCGAUAUACAGUCGGUGGCUAAGCGAAAGUGAUAAGUAAUCCACCUGGGGAGUACGAUCGCAAGGUUGAAACUCAAAGGAAUUGACGGGGGCCCGCACAAGCGGAGGAACAUGUGGUUUAAUUCGAUGAUACGCGAGGAACCUUACCUGGGCUUAAAUGUAGGCUGCAUUCGGCUGAAAGGCUGAUUCCCUUCGGGGCUGCUUACAAGGUGCUGCAUGGUUGUCGUCAGCUCGUGCCGUGAGGUGUCGGGUUAAGUCCCAUAACGAGCGCAACCCUUAUCGUUAGUUGCCAGCGGGUUAAGCCGGGGACUCUAGCGAGACUGCCACCGUAAGGUGAGAGGAAGGUGGGGAUGACGUCAAAUCAGCACGGCCCUUAUGUCCAGGGCUACACACGUGUUACAAUGGCCGAUACAAAGGGCAGCUACUCCGCGAGGAGAUGCUAAUCUCUAAAGUCGGUCCCAGUUCGGAUUGGAGUCUGCAACCCGACUCCAUGAAGUUGGAUUCGCUAGUAAUCGCGCAUCAGCCAUGGCGCGGUGAAUACGUUCCCGGGCCUUGUACACACCGCCCGUCAAGCCAUGGAAGCUGGGGGUGCCUGAAGUUCGUGACCGCAAGGAGCGACCUAGGGCAAAACUAGUAACUGGGGCUAAGUCGUAACAAGGUAACC